ensembl:lncRNA
CCCGGAUUGGUGAGCCCCGCCGGAAGCCGCCUGCACACGCAUUUUCUAACAGAUAAGUCAAUCGGCAGAGACUUGCCCCCCUCUCCCCCCCCACCUUAUCCCAAAAUACCGUUUUCGCAAAGCCGGAGCCCACCAGUCACCCGGCAGCUCCCAGCACUCCCCUCUCCGCCACCCACCCUCGGCUCCUUAGCUCUAAAGGAGGGGGAUGAGGGGAUGUUUCCCCCCUCGCACCUCCUUUGGGGGUGCAAAAGGGUCGGCAGCAGCCGGCACCGGGGGUCCCGCACCCAGCCACCCCUCCGGGCCCGCAGCUUCCCCGGUGCCGCAUAACCUCUGUCCUCAGUCGGCUCUGGGAUGACGUGGCUUCGCACCCACCGCAAUUGGGGAUUUCGAGGUGUCCGUUCUGCUGGAGGCUCCUUAUGGACCGGGGGGAAAUAAAAAGAGAAGAUAGGCCUUUUCUUUUUUGUCGCGGCACGAAAUACCGUCUUUAGGCAAGGGUCUAAAGAUGCUAAAACGGCACCAGAAAUCGAAGUCUAGGAAAGGAGUGAGAAAAAUGAAAUAACGUGAAAUCGGCCGGAGCUGGGGAAGGUUCGCUCUAACAAGUGGUGGGAGGAUGCUCUGCCAACGAGUGGGGCUGCCUCUUCUUUAUAUAUUUCCUUGACUCUUAUUAUUAUUAUUAUUGCUAUUUUUUCUUCGGAGUGGGAGAGUUUGCUUAAAAAGUGAUCUUAAUUAAAAAGAGAAGGAGCGGAAUGGUUUCCUACGUGUAGAUUCCCGAGAAUACUUAAUGCUUCUCAUCAGCUGCAGCCGUCCGGAUAGAAAGCUGUUGGCUGCUUCUGCGGACGGGCGAGCAGAGCUGAUCGUCUUCCCCCUUCUUUAGCUUCUAUGAUCAUUUCUUCCUCUGUCUUCUCAAAGUUCAAGCUCUCUUUUAAAACAAAGAUCGGGAGCAAAACCGAUCUUUGUUCGCACCUCCACUUCUCCGCACCGUCUGUUGAGAGUUCCGUCUAUUCUCGGUUCCGACUCUUCACGGUUAGCAUCGUUUCUUUGUUUCUGCGUUGGGCUGAAACCCACUUAAUCUGCACCAUCCAGCGGGAAACGAAUCGGGGACUGCAGACACACGGCAGGGAAAUCCCUCUUGGAGCAAAGCUGGGAACUUCUGGAACAAAUCCCCCCCAAUAGCGGUUACCUCUCCUGAUGCCCACCCAGUCAAACCCACUACUAACCACCAUCCGCCCCACGCUUUCCAUCUGCGUGGCUCUUCCAUUCGCAUCGGUGUCCUCUCUUCUAUUUUAGUUUAUUUUCCUCCCCUCUCUGCCGACUCUUAGAGCCCGCUGUGUGGACGGAAGCUUGCUAGGCUUGGAAUUAAAAGGUCAUUUCGAGAGGAUUGCCAAGUCUACGUGCUGGGGGGACUCAGCCUUUUAUGCCGCCAUGUGUUGUCUCCGUCCGCUGCCAUAGGAAAGCAGUUGUGCCGUAAUGAGUGCUGCUGGAUUCUUUCUCGAGGUUCAGCCUUACCCGCUCCACCCAAAGCUCCUGUUGCGACUUAAAGUCUUAUUCGAUUAAUUUAGAAGAUUUGCCGCAUCUGUGGACUAAUUAGAUGAUAUUUCUGUAAGCGAAGCUCCUCUCGCUCUCCCCAUCUCAGCUCACGAUGCCGGGUUUGGUGCAGAGCCCCAGGAUGGGGCUGAGACGGCUCCGAUCGCCCCAAAUUGGGGUCGGGUUUGUCGGGAUCAUUCUUACGUAUUCUCUCGCUGAGCUGUGGGAUCGUUUCGUUUCUGCACACCGUCUGCAUUUCCAGUUCACCCUGUAAAGAUAUAGAAUUACUGAGAUAGGUGUGAUCGAUCUCCCCCCGCCUUUUUGUUCCUAUUAAUUGGGGUUCUCCGGCACCGGAGGGAUUUUUAUCCGGAUUUUUUCUUUUUCUCCCCGGGGAUUUCGCACAGUUUGGUUUCUCUUAAUUGUGUGGGAAGUGGAU